rnacentral:rRNA from 1 species
CUAGCUGCGUGAAUUAAUGUGAAUUGCAGAACACAUUGAACAUCGACACCUUGAACGCACAUGGCGGCUUCGGGUUUACCCCGGGGCCACGCCCGUCUGAGGGUCGGUUGGCUAAAGCGAUCGCUACCUUGUCCGUAAAUUUUUUUUUUGUCCGGUCUCUAUCAUUUCUCGGGCUCUCGCGAGAUUGUGCAUGAGACUGGUACAUCAAAAUAAUUUUGGUAGCGCAUUGGGCCUUCGUGAAUAGCGUACGGUUAGCGCCCUUGCUCUCUGCGCUUCGUCGCAUGUUCUCGUGGCUUUAAGUACAGGAUGCGCCGUCGUCCUAUCUGUCCUACGAGAUGCUGCUCGCCUCGUCGGUGGUCUCUCGCUGCGCGACAGGUACCCGGCUCGUGCUUUAAAAGCGAGCUGUACGGACCUGGGACGCGCGUGAAAUGUUCGGGAGAUGGGCCGCAUAGCAGCGAUUCGUUCGGACUUACGGCGUCCGUCUUACACAUUAAUUUGUGUGGCGUGAAACAUUUUUUAUCCGACCUCAGAUCGGACGAGAUUACCCGCUGAAUUUAAGCAUAUUACUAAGCGGAGGAAAAGAAACUAACAAGGAUUUCCCUAGUAACGG